UACAGAGGUGGCAAGCGUUGUUCGGAAUUACUGGGCGUAAGGGGCGCGUAGGUGGCCUUCUUAGUCAGACGUGAAAUCCCCGGGCUUAACCUGGGAACUGCAUUCCGAACUGUCAAGCUAGAGUAUGAUAGAGGGUGGUGGAAUUCCGAGUGUAGCGGUGAAAUGCGUAGAUAUUCGGAGGAACACCAGUGGCGAAGGCGACCACCUGGAUCAAUACUGACGCUGAGGUACGAAAGCGUGGGGAGCAAACAGG
rnacentral:rRNA from 1 species